rnacentral:tRNA from 1 species
GUUCUUGUAGUUGAGUUACAACGCUGGUUUUUCAAGUCGGCGGCCCCGGUUAAAGUCCGGGCAGGAAUU